rnacentral:lncRNA from 1 species
UGAGUGAUGUUCGCGGCGAGGCGAUUGCUCAGCUGGCGGCGUUGCUCUCUAAUGAAGGUAAGGGAGUCCCUUUUAUAGAAUAAGGGCUCACUCCUCAGUACAUGAAUAAUGAGUGCUCUCUAAUGAAAGUGAGGGAGUCCCUUUUAUAGAAUAAGGGCUCGCUCCUCAAUACAUAAAUAAUGGGCUAAGUCCCCCAAGUAUUUUUCAUGAGGCCCAAUUGAGGCCCAAUAUAUGGUACAUAAUGUAGUCCCCCAAGUCUUCGGUCAAUAGAGUCUGUUAGCUGGAGACUUCAAAUUGAAUCCAUGUAUGGGCCAAAGUGGCGGUUGUUCGGAGACGGUAUUUGUAUACCCUGCACUGAAGCUUUGUAGGUGAAGCUUUGCAAGUGAAACUUUGAAGCUAGAGUUCUGUAAAUGAAGUUUUCGAAGCUGGAGCUUUUGUAAAUGAAGCUUUUGAAGCUGAUUGACAUAAGUGAUGCUCAUGAAUGUUUAUGUUGAUUGACAUGAGUGAUGCUCAUGAAUGUUAUGUAUGAUUGUCAUGAGUGAUGCUCAUGAAUGUUUAUGUAUGAAUGACAUGAGUAAUGCUCAUGUAUAAUUUGAAGUACUAGGCGUACUUUUGAUCACCUGGUUAGUGGCAUGAAGAAGAGUACGGAUU